GUAGUUAGCCGUGGCUUCCUCCUUAGGUACCGUCAUUAUCGUCCCUAAAGACAGAGCUUUACAAUCCGAAGACCUUCUUCCCUCACGCGGCGUUGCUGGGUCAGGCUUGCGCCCAUUGCCCAAUAUUCCCCACUGCUGCCUCCCGUAGGAGUCUGGACCGUGUCUCAGUUCCAGUGUGGCCGAUCAGCCUCUCAGCUCGGCUACCCAUCGUCGACUAGGUGGGCCGUUACCCCGCCUACUAUCUAAUGGGACGCGAACCCCUCCCAAAGCGGAUUGCUCCUUUGACCUCUUCGCGAUGCCGCGUUGUGGUCUUAUGCGGUAUUAGCAGCCGUUUCCGGCUGUUAUCCCCCUCUUUGGGUCAGAUUGUUCACGCGUUACUCACCCGUUCGCCACUAAGCAAAAACCGAAUUCUUGCUCCGUUCGACUUGCAUGUGUUAGGCACGCCGCCAGCGUUCGUCCUGAGCACGAAUACAACUACUGA
rnacentral:rRNA from 1 species